rnacentral:rRNA from 1 species
UACGUAGGGGGCUAGCGUUGUCCGGAAUCAUUGGGCGUAAAGGGUACGUAGGCGGAUAAGCAAGUUAGAAGUGAAAUCCUAUAGCUCAACUAUAGUAAGCUUUUAAAACUGCUCAUCUUGAGGUAUGGAAGGGAAAGUGGAAUUCCUAGUGUAGCGGUGAAAUGCGCAGAUAUUAGGAGGAACACCGGUGGCGAAGGCGGGUCUCUGGGCAGCAACUGACGCUGAGGUACGAAAGCGUGGGUAGCAAACAGG